GGUGAUCAGGCAGGCAGGUGAGCAGUUAGGAGCCAGCAGUCCCAGAUUGUGAGAGGAUGUCUGACUGCCGGUUUAGGCCUGAUCCCCAGGAUCAGGCCUAAACUGGCAGUUGGACAUCCCCCAAGGGGUCCUGGAUUGGAGAGGGUGCAGGCUGGGCUGAGGGGACCCCAGCCUCUAGUCCAGCCAUAAGUGGCUAAAAAAAGCUGUGGUACAUUUAUACAAUGGAAUACUAUGCAGCUAUAAAAAAGCAGGAUCUCUUACUCUUUGUCACAGCCUGGAGGGACCUGGAGAUUAUAAUGCUAAAUGAACUAAAGACAGCCAGAGAAGGACAAAUAUCAUGAUAUAACAUUAUAUGUAGAAUCUAAUGAACAAAAUAAAUUUCCUGACAGAGUGAGGUGUUUUGUAAGAGGUUUUGUUCUAUGUCUACAACAUGGGAAUAAGGCACUGCAAUAAAGAUGAUCCUGAAAGGACUCUUUCUCCUGCCAGUAUGGGGAGUUGGACAUAAAUCUGACAGUAACAAUAUCACCAAUAAUGGUCAUUGUCUGGAAAAGAGCCAGUGGCCCCAUCAAGGAGGUAAAACACUCAAUACUGAAGGCAGGUAAAGGGCCAACUACCCACUAACAUCCACUGAGUGUUCAGCAUUCCAUCUUAAAAGACAAAAAAUUAUGCCUCCCCUGUUUACACUCCAAAUCCCAAAGUCUGUGAUGUUGGCAGGGGCUCUUACGGUCAACACACUGAAGCCAAGCUUGAAGCACCAUAGAUUACAUGCGCUUCAGAGCCAAGGCCUCCAUUUGCGUUAAUCACCGAGCACAGGGUUCAGCACAGAGAUGAGCAUUUUAUCAGUAAUAUUUCUUAAAUUAAUGCUUGAUGAAAACCACAACCUAUAAUAAUGACGCUGAGCUCUUCUGUUCUCCCACUGGCCCCUAAUGGGUCCCAGCAGCCCAGGCGGUGGGGGGAGCAGCAGUGGCCUGGCCACCCAGCUUCUCCAAGGCUCUGGGCGAGCCGCUGCCCCAGAUGCCCCAGAGGAAGGUCAGCCCCUGCCUGGGGGCAGGGAAGGAGGAGUUCAAAGAGGUUGUCCGGUAAGCCCACUCCUGCAACGGUGGAAAUGAAGCCACAAAUAGGCAGCAGAGAAGGAGAAAUCUGCAGAGCAAAAAGUGCAGACGAAAGGACAAAAGAGGAGCCAAGGGAAGACAGGCAGAAACGGCUGAGCAACCCAAGAUUUACCUGCAGAAAACAGAGAAACGAAAAGCAAAGGGAGGUCAGCCUCUGAUGAAGCAGGAGAAAGAAGCCAAGUCAGGUUAAUGUCAUUCUCCAGGUCUCAGUGCUCCGCAUCGCCCUUCUCGUAUAAUGCAGGGGAACGUUUUUAUCAACUGUUUUGUAAAUGCAAGUGUUUUCGUAACUCUAGAAACAUUUUGAAGGAGGGAAUCCCACCUCAUCCCAUUUUGAAGUGUAAAUACUGUUUUUAAGGUGAAAUCAUUCGCUCGCUGUGUUUUGGUACAACCAGAAAACAGUGGGGUGUUGAAUGUGGGAGCUUUGAUUGACUUGGGUGUCAGCUUAACAUUCCGCAGAUGCGGGUAGUUUAUAUCCUAUAAUGCAAAGCAUAUGAGGUGGCAAUUUGGAGUCAGUUGUGCGUUCAAUGUGUCUUGAACAAUUUUAAAUUACUUCUGUUCCCAUGGUUUUGGCAGAAUUGUUUCCUAAAGAAAA